UACGUAGGGUGCGAGCGUUGUCCGGAAUUAUUGGGCGUAAAGAGCUUGUAGGCGGUUUGUCGCGUCUGCUGUGAAAAUCCGGGGCUCAACCCCGGACUUGCAGUGGGUACGGGCAGACUAGAGUGUGGUAGGGGAGACUGGAAUUCCUGGUGUAGCGGUGGAAUGCGCAGAUAUCAGGAGGAACACCGAUGGCGAAGGCGCCACUCUGGGCCGAAACUGACGCUGAGGAGCGAAAGCGUGGGUAGCAAACAGG
rnacentral:rRNA from 1 species